CCGGAUUCAGAUUUAUAAACUGGCAUAAAUCUGAUGAUAGCAUCAUAUAUGUAAAGGUGACGUAUAAGUAACUCUCCUUUCUUUGCUUUUGCAAAUUGUUUGAUUUUAGUUUACUUUUCUUUAGCUCAGGUAGCUCAGGAAUGAUUUUAAAGUUGGAUAGAUUGUAGCUGUUGUGGCCGACUUUUCUUUAGCUCAGGCAUACUGUUGAACGACUUCUUAAUCAGACGUUGAUAUGUUAGUGGCAUGGUUUGUGCUCAGUUUAUAUGUUAGAUUUAAAAGUAUUAUUGUCCUGAGCUAUAAGUAAGUAAAAAUCUUUUGUGGUUCACAGGCAUGAAGUGUUAGAUUGCAGUCAUCAUAAGUGAUAUAAAGAGACGCUCAGACUGAGUACCGAGACACACAUAGAGAGAUGAAUUUUAACGACAAUGACAUCACAGAUCAUAAGGGCCAGAAGACCAAUGAGUUAGU
rnacentral:lncRNA from 1 species